GCGAACGCUGGCGGCAGGCUUAACACAUGCAAGUCGAACGGGCUUCUUCGGAAGUCAGUGGCAGACGGGUGAGUAACACGUGGGAACGUGCCCUUCGGUUCGGAAUAACUCAGGGAAACUUGAGCUAAUACCGGAUACGCCCUUUUGGGGAAAGGUUUACUGCCAAAGGAUCGGCCCGCGUCUGAUUAGCUUGUUGGUGGGGUAACGGCCUACCAAGGCGACGAUCAGUAGCUGGUCUGAGAGGAUGAUCAGCCACACUGGGACUGAGACACGGCCCAGACUCCUACGGGAGGCAGCAGUGGGGAAUAUUGGACAAUGGGCGCAAGCCUGAUCCAGCCAUGCCGCGUGAGUGAUGAAGGCCUUAGGGUUGUAAAGCUCUUUUGUCCGGGACGAUAAUGACGGUACCGGAAGAAUAAGCCCCGGCUAACUUCGUG
rnacentral:rRNA from 1 species